UGAUGAAGGCUUUCGGAUCGUAAACUCUGUUGUUAGGGAAGAACAAGUGCUAGUUGAAUAAGCUGGCACCUUGACGGUACCUAACCAAAAGCCACGGCUAAUACGUGCCAGCAGCCGCGGUAAUACGUAGGUGGCAAGCGUUAUCCGGAAUUAUGGGGCGUAAGGGCGCGCAGGGGGUUUCUUAAGUUUGAUGGGAAAGCCCCCGGUUCACCCGGGAAGGGUCAUUGGAAACUGGGAAACUUGAGGGCAAAAAAGGAAAGGGGAAUUCCCUGGGUAGGGGGAAAUGCGUAGAAAUAUGGAGGAACACCAGUGGCGAAGGCACUUUCUGGUCUGAAACUGACAUGAGGCGCGAAAGCGUGGGGAGCAAAGAGGAUUAGAUACCCUGGU
rnacentral:rRNA from 1 species